CAAAAUAUAGUUUUUUAAAAAAUAUUAAUUUUGGAAAUUAAUGAUAUAAAUCAAAUUUAUUUUUUUGA
rnacentral:tRNA from 1 species